AUUGAACGCUGGCGGCAGGCCUAACACAUGCAAGUCGGGCGAACGAGGCUUCGGCCAAGUGAGUGGCGAACGGGUGAGUAACACGUAGGAAUCUGCCUGGUAGUGGGGGACAACGUCUCGAAAGGGACGCUAAUACCGCAUACGCCCUACGGGGGAAAGCAGGGGCUCUUCGGACCUUGCGCUAUCAGAUGAGCCUGCGUCGGAUGAGCUAGUUGGUAGGGUAAAGGCUUACCAAGGCGACGAUCCGUAACUGGUCUGAGAGGAUGAUCAGUCACACCGGAACUGAGACACGGUCCGGACUCCUACGGGAGGCAGCAGUGGGGAAUAUUGGACAAUGGGGGCAACCCUGAUCCAGCCAUGCCGCGUGUGUGAAGAAGGCCUUCGGGUUGUAAAGCACUUUAGGUCGGGAGGAAGAUUCGCUGGCUAAUAUCCAGCGGAAUUGACGUUACCGACAGAAUAAGCACCGGCUAACUCCGUGCCAGCAGCCGCCGUAA
rnacentral:rRNA from 1 species